rnacentral:rRNA from 1 species
UACGAAGGGGGCUAGCGUUGCUCGGAAUCACUGGGCGUAAAGGGUGCGUAGGCGGGUCUUUUAAGUCAGGGGUGAAAUCCUGGAGCUCAACUCCAGAACUGCCUUUGAUACUGAAGAUCUUGAGUUCGGGAGAGGUGAGUGGAACUGCGAGUGUAGAGGUGAAAUUCGUAGAUAUUCGCAAGAACACCAGUGGCGAAGGCGGCUCACUGGCCCGAUACUGACGCUGAGGCACGAAAAGCGUGGGGAGCAAACA